UUCUUUGUUAUGUAGUAUAAAACCCAACAUGAAGUCGUCUUCAGGACCGACAGCUGUUCAUAAUGCUAAGAUUUAGGGCUUUGACUGAGAUCGGGGCUGGGCCGUGGUUUGGGCUGGAUUUAAACUCAGGCAUGUCAUUUUACCUUAAAACGCUGAAAUGUGUCUCCAAAAUAAAUUCUGCUUUGAGAGCAACUUCCCUCCAAUAAAAACUUCUACUCUAUAACUGAAGCUUCAGCAAGAAACAAGUGUGUUGUAGGUGCAGUUUAUGAUCUCCUGUAUUAAAAGGUUUCACAGCUUGUUUGUGCUGGAUGUGACCAUAACGGUGAGAAGCUCCAGGAAGGAGGUCGCCGUCAUCCUGCUGUAAAACCACCGAUGUGAUGGUGACAGAGAGGAGCCCCACGUCAGCUCUGAGGCAUGUGCACGUUAACAUCUUUCCACAACAGACACAGCCAACACGCCCACUAAGACUAACACAGCAGACAUGCACGUGGUCCAAGUCAAAGCUUGAAUCCUACACAUGCAGAUGAACACACUGCGAGUGAGCUCGACUGUGAUGCAGCCAACGUGCACUUGGUAUGAGGCGGCACAUACUGGCAACACCGAGAGUCGCUCUGACUGCGCUUUCUCUGACUCAGAGUUUCCACUGAAACACAACAAGCUUCAGGAGAGAGUCGGAGGGAUUUUCUCACCUUGGCCCUGCAGACACAUGUGUGAGCAUCACUGAGAGCGAAGAAGAACACGAUCACACACAAACAGCUUUACACAUUCACAUCUGGAAUCACAUCUGUGAGCAGCCACGGUUCUCAUUAGCAGCAGGCUCGCCACCAAGCAGCCUGCGCCUCCUCUGGCUUGUCCGUCUCAGACAGUGAUUGACUGACACUGGAAGA